rnacentral:rRNA from 1 species
UACGUAGGGUGCAAGCGUUAAUCGGAAUUACUGGGCGUAAAGCGUGCGCAGGCGGCUUUGCAAGACAGAUGUGAAAUCCCCGGGCUUAACCUGGGAACUGCAUUUGUGACUGCAUGGCUGGAGUGCGGCAGAGGGGGAUGGAAUUCCGCGUGUAGCAGUGAAAUGCGUAGAUAUGCGGAGGAACACCGAUGACGAAGGCAAUCCCCUGGGCCUGCACUGACGCUCAUGCACGAAAGCGUGGGGAGCAAACAGG